UUCAUUUCCUCCUUCCAACUAGAGAGCGAGGAGUGUCCCGGGGAGAGUGGGUCCUUGAGCUCCUCUGGGCCUUGCUUGGGACUUGGUCCAGGAGGUUAUGGGAAGAAACUGGUUUAGAAGCUGACCUCAUGGGUUCGCUAUUCUUAUGUAACACUUAGGAAGAGCAGAGACCCACGCGAUUCAGUCCCAGAGCAAUGUUGCGGUCAAGAGAACACAGUCCAGCUACCAACAGUUAUUUCAAAAUAAUUCAAGCUCUUUGUUUAUAUUUCUGAAAGAAAGAAAGAAAAAAAAAGGGUGGCCCAGCUGGAAACUCGGCUUUAAGUCCCCUUUCAGGGGGCCCUCAGAUUCUGAAUAAAUGAAGCCGUACAGAAUCCACCUGGCAAAAAUGGAAACUGCCUGGAGGCCAGGGCUGAGGGAAGGCCUGGAGCAGAGCCGGUGCGCGACCUCGCAGUGAGCAGGGAGGGCAGGCUGGGGACGUUCACCACCCAGAACGCCUCUGCUCCCCGCAACCCUGAGACUCCAGGCUCCCCUGUUCCUCCCUCCGGGAGACCCUGCCCGUCCUCCCCGCGGGGCUCCUUCGCAGUUCGGGGGAAGGGACGGGUUGCGUCCUCGGGACCUUUCUCUGCAGCCACAGCAGCGCAUCCCAGCACCUCCUCCAGGAGCCCCGCCACCUCCUGCCACCCGGACUUUCCCCACAGCGCAGCGUCCCCUCGUCCUCUCAGGGCUGGAACAGCGGUACCCGCAGACAGUGCAAAAGGGAAGUCCCUGUUGCCUUCCCAUGCAAACUGUAGGGCGCUUACAGCUGCUGGGAGAGGAAAGGAAAGAAGAAAUACAAGCCUGUGACCCGGAUCCAACCCGCGGCGCACAGACCCCGGCUCUGGGCACCCCUGGUGAGCGCCUUCUGCGCCAGAGCUCCGUACAGCACCAGCCCGCGCUCUCCCCCAGCUUCUGUUCAUUUGCUGCAGUCCUGACGGGUCAGUUGCCUGAGCAUCCAUGCUGCCAUCCAUACAAACCCAGGCACGCAGAGAUGUACAUCCUUUACCCAGGGUGACACCAUGUGGAGCUGAAUCCAAGUCCGGGAGUCUGAUGACCGUGUCUGGGCUCUGACCGCGCAGCCGUCUCACAGUGAAACAAAUUGCGGACUGGCCUUGUCCUGAGUGGCCUUAGGAAGCUGCAGUGGCCUGCAGUCUCCUGGCCAGUCUGUAGAAUUUGGCAAAGAUGAGGCACCUUAUAGCCUUACAUGUUCUUAUUUUUCUUUCCUUUUCUCUUCUUUAUUUUCUUUUUUAAGGAUUUGAAUUAGUAUAUGUAAAGUGCUUAACGCAGGAGCUGGCAGAGAAAGUGGAUACUCAGUAAAUAACAGCAAUUGUUAAUUGUAAAAAGCAUGCCACUUAUCUGGUAAAAUCCCCCAUUCUAAGCACCCUGUUAAGUAGUUGGUAAUUCCUCACUUGAAAGAAAUUAAAAAGAAUUUUUG
rnacentral:lncRNA from 1 species